UACGUAGGGAGCGAGCGUUGUCCGGAAUUACUAGGCGUAAAGGGCAGGCAGGCGGAUCCAUAAGUUUAUCGUUUAAGGCGUCGGCUUAACCGGCGUAGGGCGGUAGAUACUGUGGAUCUGGAAUGCGGUUGGGGAAGACAGAAUUCCUGGUGUAGCGGUGGAAUGCGCAGAGAUCAGGAGGAAUACCGAAGGCGAAGGCAGUCUUCCAAGCCGUUAUUGACGCUCAACUGCGAAGGUGUGGGUAUCAAACAGGAUUAGAUACCCGCGUAGUCCCUGA
rnacentral:rRNA from 1 species